AUUUAGCAAUAUGUAGUGGCAACUUAAUAGAACCAAAAUAGAACCUCCAAGUGUAGUUAAUAUAUAAUAGAGUCCCGACUAGAUGGCAGGUCAUAGAUAAAUCGUCAAAUCUCAUCAUCAGUCAUAUGAUAGAUCCGAUUUGCUCAAGUCUAAUAGUGAUUCUAAAUAAAAAAUUUUUUCUAUCAAUCACACUGCUAGGGUCAUAAACUUAUGGCCUCAGCUUCUCAAAUCUCAUAGGACUAUUUCUCUUUAUCAAGAAUCGAUAGAUCCCAUCC
rnacentral:lncRNA from 1 species